rnacentral:rRNA from 1 species
UGGGAUUAGAUACCCCACUAUGCUUAGCCCUAAACAUUGACAACUAAAUACACCUGUUGUCCGCCUGGGAACUACGAGCGCUAGCUUAAAACCCAAAGGACUUGGCGGUGCUUUAGAUCCACCUAGAGGAGCCUGUUCUAGAACCGAUAAUCCCCGUUCAACCUCACCCCUUCUUGCUCUAACCCGCCUAUAUACCGCCGUCGCAAGCUUACCCUUUGAAGGUUUAAUAGUAAGCACAAUUGGCAUUGCCCAGUACGUCAGGUCGAGGUGUAGCGAAUGAAGGGGGAAGAAAUGGGCUACAUUCCCUGCAUCAGGGAACUACGGAUAACUACGCUGAAACGCGUAUUUGAAGGAGGAUUUAGUAGUAAGCAUGAAAGUAGA